CGAGGCGGACCGCCGAGUCCUGCCACUGCCUCGGGGCCCAUCAGCACACAGGCAGGAGCGGGGGAACCAAUUCCUCCGGAUGUCCGCGGACAUCCUCGGGGUGAAGCCCUUUGCCUGGUCGUCACGACCAGGUCAGGGCCGGGCACGAACCUCUGCCCGAACCCGACAGCUAACUUCGUAGGCGUUGAGAGGUAGC
rnacentral:sRNA from 2 species